UUACUUAUUUUAGAAAUUGUGUGAUACAGAUUUAACUUAUAAUACUAUUUCUAGCCCCAAAUUGUUUAAGUGAAUUUGAUAAACUAGAUUAUUAUGUAUAACCAUUUCUUUCAGUUAAUGGUACUGGAGCAGAUGAUCAUGUAUUAAUAAAGUUGCCCAUGACAAAAUCCUGGCCCUUCCGACCCCCUAAGCCAGAAUUCUUUCUGUCAUUGUUUCAGGCUUCAAAAUGGUGAGAAGAUAAUGAGAAAAGGAAAGAAUCUAUGGAUAAGAAGUAAGGAGAAAAUCGUUGACAAUUGUCAAAAUCUUGCCUCAUUACUUCUCCAGGAAUGAUGUCUAUCCUUUUCUUCAAACACAUUCUGUAUUCUAGGAAUUCUGAAUUAUUUUGGAUUAGCCAAACUCACUAUAAACUCUACUAUAAAUAGGAAACCCUGCCAUGUUGAAAGGAAUACAACCCAACAUGGAGUAGAAACAAGAAAUCAAGAUAUACACUCUAGGACAAGGAGCAAUAAGAAUUUGACUUAAAAUGGUUAUUUAGCAUGUAUUAGAGUUGCAACUGGAUUUUAUGUAGUUAUGAGGGAACCCUGAAAAAAGUACCAUUGAACAGAAAUGAGAUUUGGUUUCAGAACUUCAGCCCAAAUGCUAUUAAAUCUUUUGCAUUUCUUGAACUAUACCCCUUGUGUCUUUGUCAUAAUUUUCCAGAGGUCUUCUCAGUCAAUAUGGGUUCAGUUUACAUAAUCCUGUCAACUGAAUAAAGUAAAUAUGUAUUAGGCUUCUGAGUAAAGUGUAAUCAUAAGCAUUGCAUUGAUAUAAGAUAUAUAAACUCAAGGAUAUAAAGAAACAAUUUUUUUGUUCGUUUUGUUUUGGUUUUGUUUUAAGUCAAAGGAAAGGUGUGGUUCAGGAGUGAUAAAUUGCAGCCUGGUGAUCAAGAAGAUUUAAAAUUUAUCUCAACUUUACUAAAGUCUUCCUGACUAUAGGCCCCUGACCAAUCUUUUCUUGGAGCACUUACUUCAGAAAAAUUGCAAAUGUUAAUUUUUUAUUUGCUGAUGAUGUAAUAUCUGUCUCAAGUAUCUGGGAAUCAUCAAUUUGAAAAGUAAUAGGAAAGAAAGAACCCUUGUCUCCUAGUUUCAGUGAAAUGAUAGGAGUUGUAGAUAAAUACCAACUAGCAACACAAAUGGCCUAAUAACAUUGCACAACCUAUUUGAUAACAUCAUUGUCUUCCAGUACUUUUCCAGUAGCUUCCCCUGGUGCUUAAGAAUUUACCCAACUUCUGUUUGAGUGGAGUGGAGUCAUUCUUUCUCCUUCACAAUAGUGUUGAAUAAA
rnacentral:lncRNA from 10 species